rnacentral:rRNA from 1 species
UACAGAGGAUGCAAGCGUUAUCCGGAAUGAUUGGGCGUAAAGCGUCUGUAGGUGGCUUUUUAAGUCCGCCGUCAAAUCCCAGGGCUCAACUCUGGACAGGCGGUGGAAACUACCAAGCUGGAGUACGGUAGGGGCAGAGGGAAUUUCCGGUGGAGCGGUGAAAUGCGCAGAUAUCAGGAAGAACACCCGUGGCGAAAGCGGCUCUCUGGAACGGUACUGACGCUGAGACGCGAAAGCGUGGGGAGCGAACAGG